UACAGAGGUCUCAAGCGUUGUUCGGAUUCAUUGGGCGUAAAGGGUGUGUAGGUGGCGCCGUAAGUCGGGUGUGAAAUUUCGGAGCUUAACUCCGAAACUGCAUUCGAUACUGCGGUGCUUGAGGACUGGAGAGGAGACUGGAAUUCAUGGUGUAGCAGUGAAAUGCGUAGAGAUCAUGAGGAAGACCAGUGGCGAAGGCGGGUCUCUGGACAGUUCCUGACGCUGAGACACGAAGGCCGGGGGAGCAAACGGG
rnacentral:rRNA from 1 species